AAGGGGAGUAGACUACAGGAUCCCUUAGUAACUGCGAGUGAAGUGGGAUGAGCUCAAAUUUGAAAUCUGGUAGUCUCUGGCUGCCCGAGUUGUAAUCUAGAGAAGUGUUUUCUGUGCUGGACUGUGUUUAAGUUUCCUGGAUAUGGAACAUCAUAGAGGGUGAGAAUCCCGUCCUUAAUACAGACUCCCCAGUACUAUGUGAUGCACUCUCAACGAGUCGAGUUGUUUGGGAUUGCAGCUCAAAAUGGGAGGUAAAUUCCUUCUAAAGCUAAAUAUUGGCGAGAGACCGAUAGCGAACAAGUACCGUGAGGGAAAGAUGAAAAGCACUUUGGAAAGAGAGUUAAACAGUACGUGAAAUUGUUAAAAGGGAAACAAUUGAAGUCAGUUGCAUCUACUUGGACUCAGCCUUACUUUUGGUCUGGUGCAUUUCCUUGUGGAUGGGCCAGUGUUCAUGUUGAUUACUGGAAAAGGGGCUAGGGAAUGUGGCUCUUUUGGGAGUGUUAUAGCCUUGGCUCAUAUACAGUAAUUAAUAUGGAGUGGUACAGCAUGCUUCGGUGGUGCUUGUGCUGGCAUAAUGGCUUUAAAUGACCCGUCUUGAAACACGGACCAAGGAGUCUAACAUGUCUGCAAGUAUUUGGGUGAUAAACUCAAAUGCGUAAUGAAAGUGAUAGCUGGGAACCCUGAAAAGGGGGCACCAGUACCCCGAGCGGAUCUUCUGUGAUGCAUCGGAGGUAGAGCAUAUAUGUUGGGACCCGAAAGAUGGUGAACUAUGCCUGAAUAGGGUGAAGCCAGAGGAAACUCUGGUGGAGGCUCGUAGCGAUUCUGACGUGCAAAUCGAUCGUCAAAUUUGGGUAUAGGGGCGAAAGACUAAUCGAACCAUCUAGUAGCUGGUUCCUGCCCGAAGUUUCCCCUCAAGAAA
rnacentral:rRNA from 1 species